UACGAAAGGGGCCAGCGUUGUUAGGAAUUACUGGGCGUAAAGCGCACGUAGGCGGACUUGUAAGUUGGGGGUGAAAUCCCGGGGCUCAACCCCGGAAUUGCCUUCAUGACUGCAAGUCUGGAGGUCGGGAGAGGCGAGCGGAAUUCCGAGUGUAGAGGUGAAAUUCGUAGAUAUUCGGAGGAACACCAGUGGCGAAGGCGGCUCGCUGGACUGAUACUGACGCUGAGGUGCGAAAGCGUGGGGAGCAAACAGG
rnacentral:rRNA from 1 species